UGCCUGGUGGUCCAGUGGUUAAGACUCUGCACUCCCAAUGCAGAGAGUGCAGGUUCAGCCCCUGGUUGGGGAA
rnacentral:tRNA from 1 species